rnacentral:rRNA from 1 species
AGCGGGUUUACGACCUCGAUGUUGGAUCAGGGUGUCCCAGUGGUGCAGCCGCUACUAAAGGUUCGUUUGUUCAACGAUUAAAACCCUACGUGAUCUGAGUUCAGACCGGAGUAAUCCAGGUCAGUUUCUAUCUAUAAAGAGCUCUUUCUAGUACGAAAGGACCGAAAAAGCAUGGCCUAUGCUUCAUGUAAGCCAUACGUGAUUAUUUAUGAUUUAAACUUAAUAAACAUUCAAUCUAUUACCCAAACUCUAGACAAGAGUA